rnacentral:misc_RNA from 1 species
AUGAUUGCAAAUGGGGUUGCCUUCAGUGCUGGCUCCUUGAAGAGCAAGUGCACGUUGGUGGCUUUCAUCCAAUACCCUUGUGAACUUGAGCCUCUUGCUGGCUUUGGCCGGCAGAGAGGAUUUUUACACACACACUGGAAUGUAAUGAAAAACUAUUGUCGUGCGCAAGCACUAAUGUA